CACAGGCCCACUUCGUAGACACUGCCCCAGCUUGCCUGGCCAAGUUGGCUCGGAAAACAGGGCCUCCUAGUCCUCCGUCCUCCUCCUCCACAACCAGCUUCCAGCGUCCCGACUUCCUGAAGGGUAACCCCCUGGGUACAAGGGGCCUCUGUCAGUCUCCACUCCCACCGGAAAUAAACUCCAGGGGUCACUGCAGUGAUGGACUCCACAAAGCAUCAGCGCAGAGUCACAGAGCAGAUCAGCCAGUGUCACAGAGGGCCACCUGGGAGCCUCGGCCUGAAUGUCCAGCGCGGCUCUCCAGGAAGUCCUUGGCAAGGCCUGUCUUUUCAGAGCUCCAUGCAGCCGGCCACCCAGCUCCUCUUCCUUGCACCAGGGGCCUUUGCGGAACUCCUGGCCUUUGGUGGCCAAGGCUUCCGCCUUUCAAAGACCAGACGCUGCUGUCCGUAACCCAGCACUCCUGCUAGCUAGUUCAGCCAUUCCCCCUCCGCUUCCAGAGCCCCAGAAACUGGAGGUUCACAGGCUCCUUGGGUUCCACCCAGUUUCUCAGGGCUCGGGCCCAUUCUGAGGAAUCCAGCCUCUUUGCUUGGCUAGAGCUCUGCACACUGAGAACCGCUGGACCGGAGCUCAUGUCUUGGGAUCAGGCUGUGUCAGUGAAGACACGAACAGGAAAGGGUCACAUGUCCCCAAAGUCCAAGCAGCCCUCUAGGAUUAGAAACACAGUGGUGGUCACUAACUUUUUCAGAUAUUUUUGAGAACUAAGAGCUGUGUGACUAGAUACUUACAUUCUAACCCUUGCCCCCUUUAAUAACUACAUUUUAAAAUAAACAGUGGAAACCACCUAAACACAUGGCAAGGCUCUAUACAUUUUUAGAGAAUUUGGGCAUUUAAUAUAAUUGUUUAUAUAGCUGAAUUCAAUGACUAAAGAGGCUCAGAGAUAAGAUCUUUGGAAAAUAUGUUCACCAGCCAUCUAGCAUCUGCUAACUAGAAAAGAGUCUAUUAAAAAAAAAAAAAA